UAUAAGAUGUCCGAGAAUUAUAGGUGUUGGUUUGUAAAACCAAUCACGGGGCGUUGUCCUCUCUUAUUA
rnacentral:tRNA from 1 species